AUAAUAAUAUAUUGCGAUAAAAUAUAUCGAUAAGAGUCAUCUAUACAAUGUCAACUUUACAACGCCAAGUUUCUCCUCUUAAAUUUAAGGAUCGAUUCAGGACAAAGGGAAAUACCAACACGGUAAAUACGAUUAAACAUCAACCGCAUUCGAAAUUCAUCCGUCUUACGUUCGUACAACAAAAGGGACAGGAUCACGCCAGAAGGAAUACAUUAUGGCCGAUUGUGCCGCUCAUUGACAUCGAAUCAAACGUCAGCCCCAUUGCACGCGUGUGCGCGCGUGUUUACGUAUCCAGCGCCAUCUCCCUUUCCAUCUGUACGUAUAGAAGGGAAUGAGUCAAGCCACAAUCUCCCGGCUAAACGAGCGUCCGUUCCGCGGUACCCACGCACAAUUAUCGGCGCAUCAAUUAAGGCCGAAAAAUAUUAACGUUCCCAACGACGGACAGGAAAACGAAGUGCAAACAACGAUAAUUAUUCUCCACGUAGCCGCAUUCACGGGCAGACGUCCAGGCGUCGUGACGCAUGAUGGCAUUGUUCUACCUACUCCUCUCUCCGUUGAUGGUUCAACAAUACGUCUAGGAUGACUAAGAGGGAACAGUGCGGUUGGUGCGCAGUAGAUUCUCUCUUUUCAUGGGAUAAUCUGAAAAAAAGGAGGAAAAGAAAAUAAAACGCACGGUGAAUCGGUGAAGGAUGACGCAUGCGGUACAAAGAAGGAUCGUCUACCGAGAAAACAUGCUCGUCCAAGGCAGGAAAGAAUCACUAAUUCGUGGCGGAUAGUUCGAGCUUUCUGGUCUUCUUCGUUGGUAUGACGGUAUAAGAGAAUGACGUUUCAAUUUUCGAUUGAUGUGCCUUCUAGUCAACCUCUGUCUGCUUUGAGGUUAUGUCGGUUUUGUUUUCAGAAGAAACUUCAAACACAUAAACGUAGUCUUCUAAAUGGCGGUUCUUUUCAUAGUCGAUAUUCGAGGAAGGAAAAUCUUCGAUAUUGUUUUGCCUUCUCAUCUGAAUUUUUGUGCGAUAUUUUAAAUCGAGAUUUCGAGAAUUGUAUUUUGCGAACAUUGUCUUCGUAUAGAAAUCACGGAAUCAUAUUAUCCAUUAUGAAUUUUCGUAAAUAUGCAAGAAUAUCAUGAUUAUUGGUUUAUGAGAAAUUUAUAAGAAUCUUUUAUUUGAAAGAAAAAGUAAUUGGAAUUCUAUCUAUAUCAAGAUCUUGAUCUUUUUUUCUACUUCCUAAUAUCAUGUUUUCAUUCUCGUUAAAAUACCUGUUUGAAAUUCUACAAAGUUCAAUACGACUUUUUUUAAAUAUUUUUUUUUUAUAUACAAUUAUAGUAAUUCCAGUUCUAGUAAGUCCAAUUAAGGUAUGUUCGCUUAAAUAACCAUUCUCUCCAUAUUUAAACAUAUCCUUGAGAACCGUUGCGUCAAAGAAUUAGAAACCGUUCAUAAAGAUAUUUGGACGAAUUUCAAAGAUAGACCGAUCAGAAAUUAAUUCUCUUAACACGCAUACGAAGAGAGAAACGUGAGUUAAGCCUCUGAAUAGAAACGUCUUUUUAGUCAGCAAGAAAUGCUUCGUGAUAUGGCAAAUGUUUGAAAUGACUCCUAACAAGGAAAGGAUUCCGGAUGAAUUGUAUACACAAGCGCACAACCUAUCGGAUUCAUCGUGUCUGUGCGCGCAUGCGCACACACAUGUAAACAGUUAGCAGCAGAAAUGCGGCUAUCUUGAUUGGAUGAUGAUGCAAAGGUUUGAAAGGAUAGGCAAGAGAGGGGUGCGUCGGAUUGGGACCGAAGCAAAGAGGGACAAGAGGACUGACUUGUUGGCUUUUAAUUGCUCGCUUUUACUUUAUUUCCUUUUUGCAACUGGAUGGUUCGGCUAGGGGAUCUAGCGGCUUUGAUGGUCACGUAUCGUUAUUAGUGCUGAUAGGUCUUUCGUAUUCGGGACAGUAUGUUCUCAUGCGGAAACUCUGUGAUAGGUAAUGAUGAUCGAAUGUUUGGUUGUUAAA